AGGACGCCAAGUUGGAAUCAUGGGGCCGUCUCAAAUUCGAGGAGGAUAUGACCAGUGGAGGAGGCCUCUUCAUAUACUACAAGGAGGACACCGUGACGUGCAAAUAAUUCCUCGUCAUCAUUCGCAAGGCGCUUUACUUCCCACACCAGAACCACCUGGAUGCAGCGGAGAUGGGGAUUCUCACGGGAGGUCUUACAUACCUAGGGCACCAUAUCCACUCAGAGAUCCAUACCCCCCACGCAAUCAGCCAUACCCCUCACCCAGACAGCCAUACCUGCCCAGGCAGACACAGCCACCCAGUCAGACACAGCCACCCGAACAGUCAUACCCACCCAGACAGCAAUGCACAUUCAAACAACCAUACCCACCUAGACAAAUACCAAAACAGUCAUACCCACCCAGACAGACACAGCCACCCAGUCAGCCACCCAGACAGCCUUACCCCUCACCCAGAGAACCAUAUCCACAGAGGGAACGAUUCCCAGCACGCAGGGAACCAUACCCCCCACACAAAGCACCACCCAGGGAACCAUACCCCCUACACGCAGAACCACCCAGGGAACCAUACCCCCCACACAGAGCACCACCCAGGCAACAAUAUCCUCCACACAGAGCACCACCUAUGGGACCAUACCCACUACACGUAGCACCACCCAGGGAACCAUACCCCCUACAUGCAGCACCACCCAGGCAACCAUACCCA